GCCGGGGUGCCCGAGCGGACUAAGGGGCAGGCCUUGAGAGCCUGUGGCCCCUCCGGGGCCGCGCGGGUUCGAAUCCCGCCCCCGGCG
rnacentral:tRNA from 2 species